CCAAAAUAAUAAUCAUGAAUAUCAUCAGGCUGACUCUGGUGGUCCUGAUCCUGAUUACUCUGCUUGUCUUGAGUCUGUUGACGAGGAGGAAGACGCGCAUCAUCUUAAAAACUGAACCAAAUGAACCUGUAGAGAUGACUGAGGUAUACUCUCAUCCUGACUGAAUCCCGAUGAAUCGUCAAAGGCUCUGACUGCAGCACAGACAGAUGACAAGGAGGAGCAGGAACAGCUGGUGUCAAGUCCAGUCAGGUUACAGCAGGUGUUCAGUUCAAGUGUCACAAACAGCCCUUUUGUGUGUUAGACCAUUAAAACUAAAAUGUUUGCUUAAUAAAACAAAGACUGCCACAAUUUAAAAUGUCUUCUUCUUCAUGUAUGAAACCUGCGCUGAGCAGCCUGUGGUGUUUUUCCACAGUCAGCCAAUCUAAUGUCAUUACAAAGAAAUCUACUGAGCUUAUACUUUAAAUAAAUAUAAAAAAUAAAAUACAGAGACAGUACUGGGAGUUCUUUUUCUGUGCUUUGCUCCAUAAUCAAAAUGAUCAACAAUUUCUAUUAAUUUACAGAAAUGUUUUUGUGCCCACUAUGAAAGACACCAAGAUGCUUUUGUUUAAUGGUAUCAAAAACUAAUGUCAAUCUUCUGUUAUUCAUUUCAGCAGUUCAUCCUUUAAUGCUUUAUCUGUCCCUUACUUCGGUGCAGUGUGGCAGACAGUGGGUAGAGUGAGCGAUAUGUUUGACACACCUGAGACUCAGGCUAAAGAUAUUUAGCCUGAAAGUUCCCACAUCAUCAUAUUUAGUCAAAACAAGUUAGCAUGUAUUUGUUUUGUUAUCAA